rnacentral:rRNA from 1 species
AGAGUUUGAUCCUGGCUCAGAACGAACGCUGGCGGCAGGCUUAACACAUGCAAGUCGAGCGCCCCGCAAGGGGAGCGGCAGACGGGUGAGUAACGCGUGGGAAUCUACCCAUCUCUACGGAAUAACGCAUGGAAACGUGUGCUAAUACCGUAUACGUCCUUCGGGAGAAAGAUUUAUCGGAGAUGGAUGAGCCCGCGUUGGAUUAGCUAGUUGGUGGGGUAAAGGCCUACCAAGGCGACGAUCCAUAGCUGGUCUGAGAGGAUGAUCAGCCACACUGGGACUGAGACACGGCCCAGACUCCUACGGGAGGCAGCAGUGGGGAAUAUUGGACAAUGGGCGCAAGCCUGAUCCAGCCAUGCCGCGUGAGUGAUGAAGGCCCUAGGG